rnacentral:rRNA from 1 species
AGCGAACGCUGGCGGCAGGAUUAACACAUGCAAGUCGAGCGGGCACCUUUCGGGGUGUCAGCGGCGGACGGGUGAGUAACGCGUGGGAACGUGCCCUCUGGUUCGGAAUAACUCAGGGAAACUUGAGCUAAUACCGGAUACGCCCUUUUGGGGAAAGGCUUGCUGCCGGAGGAUCGGCCCGCGUCUGAUUAGCUAGUUGGUGAGGUAACGGCUCACCAAGGCGACGAUCAGUAGCUGGUCUGAGAGGAUGAUCAGCCACACUGGGACUGAGACACGGCCCAGACUCCUACGGGAGGCAGCAGUGGGGAAUAUUGGACAAUGGGCGCAAGCCUGAUCCAGCCAUGCCGCGUGAGUGAUGAAGGCCUUAGGGUUGUAAAGCUCUUUUAUCCGGGACGAUAAUGACGGUACCGGAGGAAUAAGCCCCGGCUAACUUCGUG